rnacentral:sRNA from 1 species
UGUAAUCAAAUUCUUCAAGGAGGAGGA